rnacentral:rRNA from 1 species
GUAGAACGCUGAAGAGAGGAGCUUGCUCUUCUUGGAUGAGUUGCGAACGGGUGAGUAACGCGUAGGUAACCUGCCUUGUAGCGGGGGAUAACUAUUGGAAACGAUAGCUAAUACCGCAUAACAAUGGAUGACACAUGUCAUUUAUUUGAAAGGGGCAAUUGCUCCACUACAAGAUGGACCUGCGUUGUAUUAGCUAGUAGGUGAGGUAAUGGCUCACCUAGGCGACGAUACAUAGCCGACCUGAGAGGGUGAUCGGCCACACUGGGACUGAGACACGGCCCAGACUCCUACGGGAGGCAGCAGUAGGGAAUCUUCGGCAAUGGGGGCAACCCUGACCGAGCAACGCCGCGUGAGUGAAGAAGGUUUUCGGAUCGUAAAGCUCUGUUGUAAGUCAAGAACGGGUGUGAGAGUGGAAAGUUCACACUGUGACGGUAGCUUACCAGAAAGGGACGGCUAACUACGUGCCAGCAGCCGCGGUAAUACGUAGGUCCCGAGCGUUGUCCGGAUUUAUUGGGCGUAAAGCGAGCGCAGGCGGUUUGAUAAGUCUGAAGUUAAAGGCUGUGGCUCAACCAUAGUUCGCUUUGGAAACUGUCAAACUUGAGUGCAGAAGGGGAGAGUGGAAUUCCAUGUGUAGCGGUGAAAUGCGUAGAUAUAUGGAGGAACACCGGUGGCGAAAGCGGCUCUCUGGUCUGUAACUGACGCUGAGGCUCGAAAGCGUGGGGAGCGAACAGGAUUAGAUACCCUGGUAGUCCACGCCGUAAACGAUGAGUGCUAGGUGUUGGAUCCUUUCCGGGAUUCAGUGCCGCAGCUAACGCAUUAAGCACUCCGCCUGGGGAGUACGACCGCAAGGUUGAAACUCAAAGGAAUUGACGGGGGCCCGCACAAGCGGUGGAGCAUGUGGUUUAAUUCGAAGCAACGCGAAGAACCUUACCAGGUCUUGACAUCCCGAUGCUAUUUCUAGAGAUAGAAAGUUACUUCGGUACAUCGGUGACAGGUGGUGCAUGGUUGUCGUCAGCUCGUGUCGUGAGAUGUUGGGUUAAGUCCCGCAACGAGCGCAACCCCUAUUGUUAGUUGCCAUCAUUCAGUUGGGCACUCUAGCGAGACUGCCGGUAAUAAACCGGAGGAAGGUGGGGAUGACGUCAAAUCAUCAUGCCCCUUAUGACCUGGGCUACACACGUGCUACAAUGGUUGGUACAACGAGUUGCGAGUCGGUGACGGCGAGCUAAUCUCUUAAAGCCAAUCUCAGUUCGGAUUGUAGGCUGCAACUCGCCUACAUGAAGUCGGAAUCGCUAGUAAUCGCGGAUCAGCACGCCGCGGUGAAUACGUUCCCGGGCCUUGUACACACCGCCCGUCACACCACGAGAGUUUGUAACACCCGAAGUCGGUGAGGUA